CAUGAUAGCUAUAUGUGGUUUUAAAAAAACAUUUUCCCUUGGAAGCUAAGCAGGGCUGGGCCUGGUUAGUACUUGGAUGGGAGACCACCUAGGAAGACCAGGUGCUGCAGGC
ensembl:rRNA 5S_rRNA 5S ribosomal RNA